AGUGAACGCUGGCGGUAGGCCUAACACAUGCAAGUCGAACGGCAGCACAGUAAGAGCUUGCUCUUACGGGUGGCGAGUGGCGGACGGGUGAGGAAUACAUCGGAAUCUACUUUUUCGUGGGGGAUAACGAAGGGAAACUUACGCUAAUACCGCAUACGACCUACGGUUGAAAGCAGGGGAUCUUCGGACCUUGCGCGAUUGAAUGAGCCGAUGUCGGAUUAGCUAGUUGGCGGGGUAAAGGCCCACCAAGGCGACGAUCCGUAGCUGGUCUGAGAGGAUGAGCAGCCACACUGGAACUGAGACACGGUCCAGACUCCUACGGGAGGCAGCAGUGGGGAAUAUUGGACAAUGGGCGCAAGCCUGAUCCAGCCAGACCGCGUGGGUGAAGAAGGCCUUCGGGUUGUAAAGCCCUUUUGUUGGGAAAGAAAAGCAGCAGGUUAAUACCCCGCUGUUCUGACGGUACCCAAAGAAUAAGCACCGGCUAACUUCGUG
rnacentral:rRNA from 1 species